CGGAUCGGAGUCUGCAACCCGACUCCGUGAAGCUGGAUUCGCUAGUAAUCGCGCAUCAGCCACGGCGCGGUGAAUACGUUCCCGGGCCUUGUACACACCGCCCGUCAAGCCAUGGGAGCCGGGGGUACCUGAAGUGCGUGACCGCAAGGAGCGCCCUAAGGUAAAACCGGUGACUGGGGCUAAGUCGUAACAAGGUAAC
rnacentral:rRNA from 1 species